rnacentral:rRNA from 1 species
UACGUAGGGUGCAAGCGUUGUCCGGAAUUAUUGGGCGUAAAGAGCUCGUAGGCGGUCUGUCGCGUCUGCUGUGAAAACUCAGGGCUUAACCCUGAGCUUGCAGUGGGUACGGGCAGACUAGAGUGCGGUAGGGGAGACUGGAAUUCCUGGUGUAGCGGUGAAAUGCGCAGAUAUCAGGAGGAACACCGGUGGCGAAGGCGGGUCUCUGGGCCGUAACUGACGCUGAGGAGCGAAAGCGUGGGGAUCAAACAGG